UAAAAAAACAUCGGUGAUUAAUGCUAUUUACGUUCAUAUCUAUCACUGUAACAAAAGAUAUGUAUGAAUUAAUAGAAAAUUGUUCCCUCGUGAAUAAAGUAACCUUCCUUCCACACCAGCUCAAACUGUUCACUUCAUCAUUCAUCAACGCACCUAACAAAUUCCAUUCUCCAAUUACAUUCUCAACUUCCUUUUGGUGUUGCAUCUCUCAACUUCGUUCAUCCUUUGAUUCCCAACAUGACGAAUACGGUUGCGCCUACGGUAAAGAACGAGUGUCUUAUGGUGAAAGGUCACGUGAUUUUGACGCGUGUCCCCGAAAACAUUGUGGUUUCUCCCGUUUCCACAGGGUCCGCUUUUUUAGGUGCAACUUCCCCAAUUCCAAGCUCCCGUCAUGUCUUCAUUCUCGGCACUCUCCGGGGACAUAGAUUGUUAUCUUUAUUUAGAGUCAAAAUAUGGUGGAUGAUACCUCGAGUAGGAAGAUCCGCGAGCGAUGUUCCAAUGGAAACUCAAUUGCUGCUAGUAGAAGCAAGAGAAGAGACUGAAAUUAAACCAGAUUUUUCUUCUGAUUCUCAAGAGCAUGAACAAGAGAAUAUUUCCUACAUUCUCUUCUUGCCUGUGUUGGAUGGAGCAUUUCGCGCAACUUUGCAAGGAACUGCAUUGAACGAGCUUCAGUUCUGCGUUGAAAGUGGAGAUGCCUGUGUUCAAACUUGUCAAUCACUUGAGGCAGUAUUUGUAAAUUCAGGCGACAAUCCAUUUGAGCUAAUCAAGGAUUCUAUCAAGAUAUUAGAGAAACACAAAGGAACUUUCUGUCAUCUUGAAAACAAGGAGAUUCCUGUACAUCUUGAUUGGUUUGGUUGGUGCACUUGGGAUGCAUUUUACACUCAAGUAAAUCCACAAGGAAUAAAAGAGGGGAUUCAAAGUCUCUCAAGUGGAGGUUUUACACCAAAGUUUGUCAUUGUUGAUGAUGGAUGGCAAGAGGCGCUCAACGAGUUUCACAAAGAAGGCGAACCACUAGUUGAAGGAACUCAGUUUGCAACAAGACUUAUAGACAUUAAGGAAAAUAGAAAGUUCAGCAGUGCUGGUUCCAACAAUUCUUGCAACAAUCUCCAUGAUUUUGUUCAUUCUAUCAAACAUAAUUUGAGUGUAAAAUACGUUUACAUGUGGCAUGCUUUAGCUGGUUAUUGGGGAGGAGUGCUCCCAUCUUCAGAUGCGAUGAAAAAGUAUAAUCCGAAGCUUGCAUAUCCUAUUCAGUCACCUAGUAACUUAGGGAACCUAAGAGAUAUUGCCAUGGACAGCUUGGAAAAAUAUGGAGUUGGAAUCAUAGAUCCAUCAAAAUUAUAUGAAUUUUACAACGACUAUCACGAAUAUCUUGCUAGCUGUGGCGUCGAUGGAGUCAAGGUAGAUGUCCAAAAUUUGAUAGAAACUUUGGGUUCAGGAUACGGUGGACGUGUUUCAUUAACCAAACAGUAUCAAGAAGCAUUAGAGACAUCAAUUGCAAGGAACUUUAAGCGCAAUAACCUCAUUUGUUGCAUGUGUCACAACUCUGAUUCAAUUUACAGUUCAAAGAAGAGUGCAGUAGCAAGAGCUUCCGAGGAUUUCAUGCCAAGGGAACCAGCAUUUCAAACCUUACACAUUGCGUCGGUAGCUUUUAACAGCCUUCUUCUAGGAGAGAUAUUUGUACCAGACUGGGAUAUGUUCCAAAGCAAGCACGAGACAGCUGAGUUUCAUGCUGCAGCAAGAGCAAUAGGUGGUUGUGCAGUAUAUGUUAGUGAUAAGCCAGGAAAUCAUGAUUUUAAAAUCCUGAAGAAACUAGUACUGCCUAAUGGAUCAGUCUUGAGAGCAAGAUAUGCAGGUCGUCCUACUCGAGAUUGUUUGUUUCAAGAUCCUGUAAUGGAUGGUAAAAGUCUGCUGAAAAUUUGGAACUUGAACAAGCUGACUGGGGUGAUAGGUGUCUUUAAUUGCCAAGGAGCAGGAUGCUGGCCAAUGAAAUCUUCAGAAGUCACACCGACACACUUAACCAUUUCAGAGAAAAUUAGACCACUUGAUGUUGAGUUACUUGAAGACAUAGCAGGUGAAAAAUGGAAUGGAGACUGCAUAUUAUAUGCCUUCAAUGCAGGCUUGCUUUCCAAGCUACCAAGUCGAGGAAAACUACAAGUGUCCUUGGAGACUCUUCAAUGUGAAGUAUACACAGUAUCUCCAAUCCGGGGUCUAUUUCCAACAAAGUGGCAUCAGAGCUUCAAGGUCCUAAAAAUGGCGAAUGGAGGUUUCCCUUUUCAAAUGCCGAUGCUCACAAAGAACAACUAUGACAAUUGGAGUAUCAAGAUGAAGGCGCUACUAGGAGCUCAAGAUGUGUGGGAUAUUGUUGAGAAAGACUUCAAUGAGCAAGAUGAAGCCUCGCUAAGCCAAGGGGUAAAGGAGACAUUGAGGGAGUCAAGAAAGAGAGACAAGAAAGCUCUCUUCCUCAUUUAUCAAUCGGUGGAUGAAGAUACAUUUGAGAAGAUCUCCAACGCAACGACGGCCAAAGAAGCAUGGGACAAACUUCAAACUUGCAACAAAGGAGUGGAACAGGUGUUUGGUCAUGUACAAUUUGCACCAAUUGGAUUGCUUGACAUGUACAAUUCCGGAGGAGCUGUAGAAAAACUGUCCUGUACAAUGGAUGUUGCAGAUUGCAUAACAGUAAAAAUCCAAAGCAGGGGAGGUGGCCGUUUUGGAGCAUACUCUAAUGAGAGACCGAAAAGUUGCUUGGUGGACAUGAAGGAGGAGGAGUUUUGUUACAACUCUGAAGAUGAAUUACUGACAAUUAAACUUGAUGGUGAAGGCAAUUCAAAGGACAUAGAAUUUGUAUUCCAAGAGUUAAGGUUAUACAUAAAAAGACUACCGAUAAUCAGAGUCUUGUUGGCCAUGGAUAUGUAACCAUGAUCACAGUUAAAGAAGCCGAGUCUGCUAUAGACAAGUUCAACGGCUACGAUUAUGAUGGAAGCUUGUUGAGUGUGAAUAAGGCUAAUACCAGAAGAUCUAGGCCUGAGCAACCACGUAUAUCUGAACCUGUCACAAAAGCUUAUGUAGGUAACUUGCCAUGGGAAGUUGAUAAUACUAAGCUUGAGAAAAAUUUCAGUGAACAUGGUAAGGUUGUGAGUGCAUGACCAUCAAUUAUGGGCGGACUUUAUUCCCCAUCACUCUUCUAUCAUCUUGAUAUGAAAGAUCAGAAGAUGUUUAAAAAAAUUUAAAUAAUACUAAUAGUUUGAUUUGAAGGAAAAA